AUAGCCAAGCUUAGGCAGUGAAGGAGUUGGAAAACAGAAAGCUGGUGAUAAUGUAAUAGAACAAGGGGCCCAAGUUCCAGCCUCAGCAGAACUCAGCAGCUUUGGUCAUUUGGCUCUGACUUUAUAGUCAAGAGGAAAAGGAGACUACUGGGAAAAUUGAUGCUAGUUAGCUGGAGCUCAGAAAUUAGGGGUGAUUAAGAAAAGACCAGCAUCAUGGAGGUAAAAUCUUCUGGGAAGUGUUUUCUGAGAGCACAAAGCAGCUAGCUUGUGUUCUAGAGAUAGCCAAGGUUGUACCUCAUGCUGCAGCAGGACUUGGUAAUGUGUGAGAGUCACCCAGGUGGUACUGGCUUUGAAGACAUGAAGGGAUUAUGAAGAGCAGCUGAGGCUCGGCACUGUGAGAGGCCAUGGAAGCCUCAGUUGUUGUUGAUGGCCCAGGACUGGAGGGGUCAUGCAAAGGAACAGAGGCUUGGCACCAUGAAGAGAGCCUAUGAGAGGCUACUGUUAAGCCUAGCUGCAGCAGAAGACUCCAGUGCAUUGUAGAUGCCAGUACCAUGGGAUGAUCACCAAGAACAGCAGCAGCAGUGGAGUGGAUCAACCUGAGCUUAGAGUACUAUAGAAGACAAAGGUAGGGAAGUGAUGACAACCCUUUGAAGGAGCCCAGAAGAUCAUGUGUGGAUCCCGGUCAUUGAAACAAGAAGCUAUAACAUUGAAGGUACCUUGGAGACCCCAAGAUGUUGGAGAUGCCAGAACCAUGGGCCAUCUGCUGAGAAAAGCUGCUAUAAGGGAGUGGAACCAGCCCAGCAGAAAGAAGUUUGUUGCAGUCAACAAAGACGAAAAGGAGUUGGAGAUCUGAGGACUACUUUGAGAUCAGAUGCAGAGUUUGAACUUUGUCUAGCUGGUUUCCUGUCUUGCUUUGGGGAUGACAGUUAAGUGCUUAGAUGAAUCUCAGAAGAGAUCUUGAACUUUGGGCUUUUAAUAUUGUUGAGACUGCAGUAGACUAUCGGGACUUUGGAAAUUGACUAAAUGUAUUUUGCAUUAUGGUAUGUUUAGGUAUGGCCCCCAUAGACUCAUGUGUUUGGACAAGCCUAUGGGGACCAGGGAGUGGGGCAUGAUGGUUUGUAUAUGCUUGGCCCUGGGGUGUGACCUUGUUGGAGUAGGUGUGUCACUGUGGGCAUGUGCUUAAGAAGCUUACCCUAGCUUCCAGGAAGUCAGUAUUCUGCUAGCAGCCUUCAGAUGUAGAUGUAGAACUCUUAGCUCCUCCUGCACCAUGCCUGCCUGGAUGCUGCCAUGUGUACUCCUUGAUUAUAAUGGACUGAACCUCUGAACCAGCCCCAAUUAAAUGUCCUUUAUAAG
rnacentral:lncRNA from 1 species